CAAUAGCGUAUAUUAAAGUUGUUGCAGUUAAAAAGCUCGUAGUUGGAGUUCAGAGUGAGCUCGUCCGGUCGGCCUUAUGGGUCAGAACUGGUUGACUCUCUCUUGUUUGUGGAUCCUGUCAGCAGUUAACUCUGUUGAUGUGGAGUCCACAUCGUUUUACCUUUGAAAAAAAUUUAGAGUGUUCAAAGCAGGCGUUUGCUUGAAUAUAUUAGCAUGGAAUAAUGGAAUAGGACGCUGGUUCUAUUUUGUGGUUUUGAGAACCAGAGUAAUGAUUAACAGGGACAGUCAGGGGCACUCGUAUUCCGUCGAGAGAGGUGAAAUUCUCAGACCAACGGAAGACGAACCACUGCGAAAGCAUUUGCCAGGGAUGUUUUUCACUGAUCAAGAACGAAAGUUAGGGGAUCGAAGACGAUUAGAUACCA
rnacentral:rRNA from 1 species